UACGUAGGCAGCGAGCGUUGUUCGGAGUUACUGGGCGUAAAGAGUGCGUAGGCGGUUUUCUAAGUUUGGUGUGAAAUCUCCCGGCUUAACUGGGAGGGUGCGCCGAAGACUGGAAGGCUAGAGUAUGGGAGAGGUAAGCGGAAUUCCUGGUGUAGCGGUGAAAUGCGUAGAUAUCAGGAGGAACACCUGCGGUGUAGACGGCUUACUGGACCAUAACUGACGCUGAGGCACGAAAGCGUGGGUAGCAAACAGG
rnacentral:rRNA from 1 species